ACCCCGAUAAAUACGCGUGAGUAAACCGUUGCAUCAUUUAAUAACGAACCAUUAAAAUUGAUAAUGAUGAAAAUCCUUUUAUAUAUGACUCCUUUUUAAUAUUUAAAGUCUAUGAUAUCAUGUUUACUUAGUUAAUCAAAGACUUGGAUUUAGGAGUUUAUGGCACAUUGUAAAAAAGGAUUUUUUGACGUCAACUAAUAUUGAUCUAGGUUCAGUUAACUUUCAUCGAAAUUAGGUCACUCUUACGUUGCUACGCUAGGCCUUAAAUCUAUUUAAAAUUAACUGUAACCUUAAUGUUGAUUUGUCCAUAUUUUACGGUUUAUAUUGGUGAUGUCAGCAUGAAAGUCGCAGCUUAAAAAUGUCUGUUUUUUCUUAUUCAGUCAAAAGCAUUAUUCGACGAAUGAACGAAGAUGUGGACAUUAUUGCUCCAUAAACGUAAUUAAUUGUGACGGACAGGUAAUGUGUUUUUGGAAUAAAGAGGCUAAAGAGACAAAAAAAGACGAAAAAAAUAGGCAAGUUGAAGAAUAAGCAAAAAUAGGCAAGUUAAAGACCUUUGUCAAGACAGAAUUCAUUAUUAUUGAAAAAGAGCAGCACACGACGCUAACUUCAAUUUGGCUGAAUGAAAAAUUCCAUGGCAUGACAGCAUUAAAAAUGACUCAAAUGACUGUAACUUCAAUGCUUCGUCGCUAACUUCAUAUCAUUACAAGUAAAACCAAAAGAUGGCUUCAGGCGUAAAGUUUUAUUAUGUGGAAGUUAAUGAUUUCAUCGCAAAGAAACAAACAACCCAUCCAGAAUUGUCAGCAGAAUGGCUUAAACUAGAAGAACUU